GGCCUUUAGAAUUUAAUUUAAGGUCUGACCUGCCCAGUGAUGAAUUUAACGGCCGCGGUAUAUUGACCGUGCAAAGGUAGCAUAAUCAUUAGUCUUUUAAUAGAGGGCUGGAAUGAACGGUUUAACGAGGAAUUGACUGUCUCAUUUUAUUUGUUUUAAAAUUUAAUUUUUUAGUUAAAAAGCUAAAAUAAUAUUGGAAGACGAGAAGACCCUAUAGAUCUUUAUAUAAUUUUUUGUAUUUAUUUAUAUAUUAACAUAAUUGUAGUAAAAUUGUAUUUUGUUGGGGUGACAAAAAUAUAUAAUUAACUUUUUCAUUUAUUUACCAUUGAUGUAUGAUUUUUAGAUCCAUUUUUAGUGAUUGCUAGAGUAAGUUACCUUAGGGAUAACAGCGUAAUCCUCCUCCAGAGUUCAUAUUUACAGGAGGGCUUGCGACCUCGAUGUUGGAUUAAGAUAAUAAUUAGGUGUAGCCGCUUAAUUUAUAGGUCUGUUCGACCUUUAAAUUCUU
rnacentral:rRNA from 1 species